rnacentral:lncRNA from 1 species
UGCUCAUAUUUUUGUAUUUCUUCUGUCUCUUUGAGCACAGGUCUUAUUGACACAGUUGAUUCCUGAGAGACAGGAGAUCUUGAAGCAGAGCCUCCCCAGCUCACCUCAGUCCAGGUGAGCUCUUCUGCAGGAGACUUGCCUUGAGGAAAACAGUCCCUAGCAGAGUUGUUUCAAGGAGAGUAAAAUGUUGUGAUUGAGGAAUCAAGCCUGGAGCCUGAAGCCUGAAGCUAAGCCUGGCCAUUGUGAAGCCUACACAACAGCUCUCCAAGAUAACCCACACACAAGGGUAAAAUGAUUAUAUGUUAAGUCAUCGAGUUUGUAGGUGAUUUGCUAUGAACCAUUUUUUUUAGCAUCGUCUUUUGUGGAAUAAUGAGUCACCAUUAAUAAAGCAAAUUACAAAAUACAGGUACACAUUGUCUCUUUAUCUGAACAGCCUAAAGCAAAGCCACUAGCCAAACUCCAUGGAAUGGAAUGAAACUGUUAUCUGGGUUUGAGAAUGUUUCUAAAAUUUUAUUUUUAAACUGAUGCAUAGCAACACAAAUUAUACAUAUUAAUAGAGAAAUGUUUUUUAGUGCAG